CCAGUCUGUUCCACCACUUCCUCGACUCCUACCAAGUGAUGUUCUUCACACUCUUUGCACUGGUAGCAGGGGCAUCCGUGCUGGUGAUAGCCUAUCACGUAGCUUUUGUGCAGAGGGAACAGCAGAGUCAUCCAGUGUAUGUCCUAAGGACACCUCCUCAGCACAGCCACAACAGUUUCUCUACAUCCCCUGGGCCUGCAGCGUAUCACUUCAGCCAUCAGCCCUCCAGCAGGAGCAGAAGUCCCUCGUCCGCGCU